UCCCAGUUAGCUCAGUUGGUAGAGCAUGGUCCUUGCAACACCAGGGUUGUGGGUUUGAUUCCCAAGGGGGAC
rnacentral:tRNA from 1 species